GAUAUUGGCGCGGUUCAAUC
rnacentral:miRNA from 1 species